UACAGAGGUCUCAAGCGUUGUCCGGAUUUACUGGGCGUAAAGAGCGCGCAGGCGGUCGUUCAAGUCGAGUGUGAAAGCCCCCGGCUCAACUGGGGAGGGUCACUCGAUACUGAUCGACUCGAAGGCAGGAGAGGGUAGUGGAAUUCCCGGUGUAGUGGUGAAAUGCGUAGAUAUCGGGAGGAACACCAGUGGCGAAGGCGACUACCUGGCCUGUUCUUGACGCUGAGGCGCGAAAGCUAGGGGAGCAAACGGG
rnacentral:rRNA from 1 species